UACAGAGGGGGCAAGCGUUGUUCGGAAUUACUGGGCGUAAAGGGCGCGUAGGCGGCCUGUUAAGUCGAACGUGAAAUCCCCGGGCUCAACCCGGGAACUGCGUCCGAUACUGGCAGGCUUGAAUUCGGGAGAGGGAUGUGGAAUUCCAGGUGUAGCGGUGAAAUGCGUAGAUACCUGGAGGAACACCGGUGGCGAAGGCGGCAUCCUGGACCGAUAUUGACGCUGAUGCGCGAAAGCCAGGGGAGCAAACGGG
rnacentral:rRNA from 1 species